UGGCCUGGUUUCUCUGCCUCUGCCUUUCUUCUCUUUGCAGUAUCACUACUGUGUCUGAGGCCUCGGGGCUACCUGCUGCUGCCAACAGCGACAACUUUUGAAUGGACAGAGGCCACCUACCUUCUCAACACGGAGGAGGAAACCACCAUGCCGGUGUGAUACAGCUGCAGCCUGGGAUAUAAAUAGCUUCUACAAAGCAAAGGUCAAGCAGACAGCAGCCUACUCAAGAAGGCCAAAGGUCACCACCUAACCAGCCUGCCCUGACUGGUAGACUCCUAAUAUGUCAACUGGGCAAACGAUGUUUAUGGCUUUGGACUUGACUGGGGUCUCAAGAAGGCCAGGAGUAAAAAGUGGACUAGAGAUGCCAAGCUGCGGGAGGCAUUGCUGCUUCUUUAAGUAGGUGGGCCAAGCACCCCCACAUGAGCAAACAGUUUGGAGAGAAGGCAAGUGCUUUCCAGGGCUACGAUCUCCCUCUGCAUCCCUCUGUCUCUGGAAAAAAAAGAUCCAACAGAAACCUACAUAUGCCCCUUGCUUCUCACCUGCUGCACAGAACCCGAAAUGGUUUCUCUGGCUCCACACAUCUGCUAAUGCUGCUAAGAUCCAGCCCUCUACUAGAAUCUAUCAACUUGAGGCAUGAUACAUGUGUCCUCUUGCACUUGUGACCACCCCCCAUUACCCUGCCCACAGCAGAGCACAGUGAUUCCUUGUAAUACCAUUUGCACGCCUACUAUAUACAAAGAACGAGAAAGUAAAUAACCCGGCUAGAGUUACACACAAGGUAGAAAUCUGAACCUAAGACCUUUUGGUCCCGAAGCUCACAGGCUCUCCUCUAUUGUCUACAGGGCUGAAAAAUCUCAACAGAGUACAACUUAAAAUUUGGUGGAGCCGGGCGGUGGUGGCGCACGCC